rnacentral:rRNA from 1 species
UACGUAGGGUGCGAGCGUUGUCCGGAAUUAUUGGGCGUAAAGGGCUCGUAGGCGGUUUGUCACGUCGGGAGUGAAAACUCGGGACUCAACCCCGAGCCUGCUUCCGAUACGGGCAGACUAGAGGUAUGCAGGGGAGAAUGGAAUUCCUGGUGUAGCGGUGAAAUGCGCAGAUAUCAGGAGGAACACCGGUGGCGAAGGCGGUUCUCUGGGCAUUACCUGACGCUGAGGAGCGAAAGUGUGGGGAGCGAACAGG